rnacentral:rRNA from 1 species
CCUACGGGGCGCAGCAGUGGGGAAUAUUGGACAAUGGGCGAAAGCCUGAUCCAGCCAUGCCGCGUGUGUGAAGAAGGCCUUCGGGUUGUAAAGCGCUUUCAGUGGGGAAGAAAGCCUUGGGGCUAAUACCCUCGAGGAAGGACAUCACCCACAGAAGAAGCACCGGCUAACUCCGUGCCAGCAGCCGCGGUAAUACGGAGGGUGCGAGCGUUAAUCGGAAUUACUGGGCGUAAAGCGCGCGUAGGCGGUCUGAUAAGCCGGUUGUGAAAGCCCCGGGCUCAACCUGGGAACGGCAUCCGGAACUGUCAGGCUAGAGUGCAGGAGAGGAAGGUAGAAUUCCCGGUGUAGCGGUGAAAUGCGUAGAGAUCGGGAGGAAUACCAGUGGCGAAGGCGGCCUUCUGGACUGACACUGACGCUGAGGUGCGAAAGCGUGGGUAGCAAACAGGAUUAGAUACCCCGGUAGUC